rnacentral:rRNA from 1 species
GACGAACCGUGCGAACGUUAUUCGGAAUCACUGGGCUUAAAGCGCGUGUAGGCGGGACGGCACGUCGGUCGCUGAAAUCCCCCGGCUUAACCGGGGAACGGGCGGCGAUACGACCGUCCUGGAGGGGCGUAGGGGGACCUGGAACUUCCGGUGGAGCGGUGAAAUGCGUUGAGAUCGGAAGGAACGCCCGUGGCGAAAGCGGCGCGCUGGAUCUCUUCUGACGCUGAGGCGCGAAAGCCAGGGGAGCAAACGGG